GAACGCACAUUGCGCCCGCUGGAACUCCGGCGGGCAUGCCUGUCCGAGCGUCAUUUCAACCCCUCAGGCCCCCCUCCCGGGGGCGGGCCUGGUGUUGGGCGUCGGCCGCCUCCCCGCGGCCGUGCCCCAAAUGCAGUGGCGGCCUCGCCGCGACCCCUUGCGUAGUACUGUACCUCGCACCGGAGCGCGACGCGGCCACGCCGUGAAACCCCCCACUUCUGAAAGGUUGACCUCGGAUCAGGUAGGAAUACCCGCUGAACUUAAG
rnacentral:misc_RNA from 1 species